rnacentral:rRNA from 1 species
UAACCUGCCCAAGAGAUCGGGAUAAUACCUGGAAACAGAUGCUAAUACCGGAUAACAACAGAUGAUGCCUAUCAACUGUUUAAAAGAUGGUUCUGCUAUCACUCUUGGAUGGACCUGCGGUGCAUUAGCUAGUUGGUAGGGUAACGGCCUACCAAGGCGAUGAUGCAUAGCCGAGUUGAGAGACUGAUCGGCCACAUUGGGACUGAGACACGGCCCAAACUCCUACGGGAGGCAGCAGGC